CCCAAGACCGCAGGUCCACCCCAGUGGGGAUUCUGCAGGCACCGUCACCGGCAGCUUAGAGAAGAGAGAGCCAUCAUCCCGACGGCCGUGGAAAUCGUCAUCGAGCGAAUGGCGGGUCCAGCCUCGAGAGGCACAGCGGUCGCUUCCGGAUUCGGGCGUUCCCUCCAUGAUGCCACCCUAAAGGUUGGGGGGAAAGCAGGCCCUUCCGCCAGGCACUCCAGCCCCUGUCCCACCGACCAGGUCAUGCUGCUUCCCAGGAGACGUCCUCUGGAAUUCUUGGACUUCAGCAGUUCCACUCUACUGGGGACGCUCUGCUUUGCCUGUGGUUUUUGAGAGGGAAGACUACGUUAAAGAUGUUCUGCUCUA